GUGGUUGAAGCUCAUCGGGAUGAGCGCCGGGCCGUGACCCCGGAGGGAGCGAGUUCGAAUCUCGUCGAUCACC
rnacentral:tRNA from 1 species